UGAAGCGGUGUGAAAAACUCUGGUGGUAUACGAUGGUUCCGCGUCUGAUUAGCUAGUUGGUGGGGUAAUGGCCUACCAAGGCAACGAUCAGUAGCCGGCCUGAGAGGGUGAACGGCCACAUUGGGACUGAGACACGGCCCAAACUCCUACGGAAGGCAGCAG
rnacentral:rRNA from 1 species